rnacentral:lncRNA from 1 species
UCCUUUGCCUCCUCCUCUUCAGAGACGGCAAGCAAUUUGAUCUAUUAUCUGUUAACUUCUCUGGGAAUAUUUUGAGCCUGCUCACCUGAGUCCAUUGCAUCCAUUAUCACAUGGGUGAAGUGUUUGUCCUCUGCUUCAGGGGCCAGAUGUGAUUCUCACAUAGAAGGGAGUUUGAGCCACAGCAGCCUUGGAGUCGGGAUAGCAGGUGAGAAGAUGCAGUCAACCAGCCCAGCAUGGAAGUCCCAAGAGAGCAGGGUACCUGGGACUCAAGCCAGAGGUGGGUUUUGGACUUGGAGCAGGAACUACCCUCUAUGGGAAUCAUGCUAAACUAUUAGCUUAGUGUGAAGCAGACAGCUUUUUGCAACUCUAUCUCACUGAAAUCCAAUUCCCAGGCAAGUCAAGACAUCACCCAUGAUGUCACUGGUCUUCUUCAAAAACGAAGGAUGAAUAAACAACAACGAGGUGCAAGGGUAGGGGAAAAA